UCAGGAAGCCAAGUGGGCUCCCAAUCCCUGACCAUGGCUCAAGCGCUAUUCCUCCCUCUCCUCCUCUUCACUUACUGUGCUGGUGCCUUCGGCCAGUUUGUACUGACUCAGCCGUCCUCUACAUCUGCAUCUCCUGGAGAAGCAGUGAAGAUACCCUGUACCAAGAGCAGUGGUGCCAUCAGAGACUACUAUGUAUCCUGGUAUCAGCAGAAACCUGGCAGUGCCCCCAGACUACUGAUACAUAGCUAUAGCACCAGAUACACAGGAAUCUCAGAUCGAUUCUCUGGCUCUACGGACACCUCUGCCAACUCUGCCACCUUAACCAUCACCAACGUUCAAGCCGACGACGAGGCAGAUUAUUACUGUUUAUCUUAUGCUGGCAGUGGCAAGUGCACAGUGAUACAACUGCAUGGGGAAGUGAGACAAAAACCUCCUUAUAGUAGUUUGCAAUGGGUUGCAUUUGAUUGA